rnacentral:rRNA from 1 species
UACAGAGGGUGCGAGCGUUGUUCGGAAUUACUGGGCGUAAAGCGCACGUAGGCGGAAUGUUAAGUCAGGGGUGAAAUCCCGGGGCUCAACCCCGGAACUGCCUUUGAUACUGGCAUUCUCGAGUCCGGAAGAGGUGAGUGGAAUUCCGAGUGUAGAGGUGAAAUUCGUAGAUAUUCGGAGGAACACCAGUGGCGAAGGCGGCUCACUGGUCCGGUACUGACGCUGAGGUGCGAAAGCGUGGGGAGCAAACAGG